UACGGAGGGUGCAAGCGUUUUUCGGAAUUACUGGGCUUAAAGAGCACGUAGGCGGCCUCGUAAGUGACUGGUGAAAUCGCUCGGCUCAACCGUAGAACUGCCCUGGAAACUGCUUGGCUUGAGUGUGGCAGAGGUUACUGGAACUUGAGGUGUAGCGGUGAAAUGCUUAGAUAUCUAGAGGAACGCCGGAGGCGAAAGCAGAUGACUAGGUCGUAACUGACGCUGAGGCGCGAAAGCGUGGGGAGCAAACAGG
rnacentral:rRNA from 1 species